CGGGUGAGUAACGCGUGGGCAACCUGCCUCAUACAGGGGGAUAGCAUCGGGAAACUGGUGGUAAAACCGCAUAAGCGCACGAAGACGCAUGUAUUCGUGUGAAAAGGAGAAAUCUGGUAUGAGAUGGACCCGCGUCUGAUUAGCUAGUUGGAGUGGUAAAAGCACACCAAGGCGACGAUCAGUAGCCGGCCUGAGAGGGUGGACGGCCACAUUGGGACUGAGACACGGCCCAAACUCCUACGGGAGGCAGCAG
rnacentral:rRNA from 1 species